CGUGGCUAACAAAGAAAAUACAUUAUCUUACUGAAACCAUGACAUAUGGUCUCUGUCAUUUUACCAUGCAUGCUUUUUCUUCAUUAAAAAAAACACAACAACCAGGAGGAAAGAAAGAUUGUGUUUUGUAAGGUCACAUUCCACAGGCGGUUGCUCGAAUUAUAUAUUCCUGCCUGGCUCUAUUCAAGCAAUAAACAUUUCUGUAAUUGAAAUUGUAAGCUUUCAGCGGUACCCUGCUCUUCAGCUAACCUAAUGCGCAAGUUCACAAAAUGUGUUAAGAUUAUUUUUUCAAUAUUACAGUAUCAACAGCAAAACAGAUAUUCUCCCCAUAAUUCCAUGAUAGAGCUACAAGUGGAUGUGCAACAAAAUGUCGCAGAGUGAAGCACUCCUCUUCAGUCUCCCAGCAAGUUCAAAAGAGAGACGACAGCUUUGGUGCACUCGGGGAGACACUAAAAUGAUUUUCUAGGACUCCCAAAUCAAUUUCUCCACUUGUGGUCUCUCAGAAACCUCCCACAAACAGCAAGUGAACUGAGUGAAUCCUUUGAACGGAGAUCUGCAAGACUGACAUUGCUCUUUCUACAACAGGAAAACAGGGACAGUUCCAUUAUUCUGUCCCACUCUGAUAUCAUGUAGUGAUGAAGGGCAAGUUUUUUAAUAAAAAAAUUUGCCAGGAGAAGAAGUAGCUCUGCAGUUAACAACAAAAUCAGUACAAGGAGUAAGAAAAAACACCAACAAAAACCACAAAUGUACACAACUUAAGAUGGUAAAACUUAUCUAAUGCCAGAGUGGGAGGUGCUUCGCUCAGCUGAGAACUCAGCCCUGGUUUCCCAGGAAAGUAAACUGAUUAAAAAUAUUCAAAAGAACACUACACUGUUGGACCACAACAAACAUAUAUACAGACAAGAGUAAUAAUAACAGUAGAAGAAAAAAGAAAAGAAAAGAAAAGGGAAAGGGAAACCAACACAAUGACCAAAAAAAUCCUGCCAGCUCAUAUGAGAAUACAGUAACCA